CUAACAAGGAUUCCCCUAGUAACGGCGAGUGAAGCGGGAAGAGCUCAAGCUUAAAAUCUCUGGCGGUAACCGUCAGCGAAUUGUAGUCUCGAGAAGCACUGUCAAAGCAAAGUCCUGGCGCUCAAGUCGCUUGGAACGGCGCGUCGUAGAGGGUGAGAACCCCGUUUGCGGCGUGAGGACUUGCCGACGAGGUGUUUUCCAUGAGUCGGGUUGCUUGGGAAUGCAGCCCAAAAUGGGAGGUAAACUCCUUCUAAAGCUAAAUAUUGGCACGAGACCGAUAGCGAACAAGUACCGUGAGGGAAAGAUGAAAAGCACUUUGAAAAGAAAGUUAAGAGUACGUGAAACCGUUAGUAGGGAAGCGCAUGGAAUUAGCAACGCACGUCAGAGAUUCAGGUGGACCGGGCGCAGUCGUCUCGUUGUGCAGAUCCGAACGGACUGCCGACGGGUCGCUCCGCGUCCGAACCGUCGCACUUCUCUGGCGUGCGCGUCAACGAGUGUUCGCACCGGGUGAUACGUCUCGGGAGAAGGUGGCAGUCGCCUCGGCGGCUGUGUUAUAGCUCUCGGUGACCGACUCGGGGUGGACAGAGGAGUCGCGACUCGUGCCUUUAGGCAGGCCUUCUCUGCUCGCGGGUGUUGUAAGCAAGGUAGACUGCGUGCAGUGUACUCGAACCUCAACGCUCUCCUGCGGGGUUUCGGCGCUAACGAGUCGAGGUCGUUGGCGGUCAUAUGGUUUUAUGCNNNCCGUCUUGAAACACGGACCAAGGAGUCUGACAUGUGUGCGAGUCUUCGGGUGACUGAAACCCUCGGGCGCAAUGAAAGUGAAAGCCGGUGUCUGACUGGCCGAAGUGAGAUCCGCACCUCGCGGUGCGGCGCAUCAUUGACCGACCUAUUCUACUCUUAGAAAGGUUUGAGUAAGAGCGUACAUGUUGGGACCCGAAAGAUGGUGAACUAUGCUUGAGUAGGGCGAAGCCAGAGGAAACUCUGGUGGAGGCUCGUAGCGAUUCUGACGUGCAAAUCGAUCGUCAAACUUGGGUAUAGGGGCGAAAGACUAAUCGAACCAUCUAGUAGCUGGUUCCCUCCGAAGUUUCCCUUAGGAUAGCUGGAACUCGAUUUGUACAGUUUCAUCCGGUAAAGCGAAUGACUAGAGGCCUUGGGGUUGAAACAACCUCAACCUAUUCUCAAACUUUCAAUGGGUGAGAAGCCGCGCUUGCUUAACUGAAGCGCGGCAAUGAAUGAGAGAGUUCUUAGUGGGCCAUUUUUGGUAAGCAGAACUGGCGAUGCGGGAUGAACCGAACGCUCGGUUAAGGCGCCUAAAUCGACGCUCAUCAGACCCCACAAAAGGUGUUGGUUGAUCUAGACAGCAGGACGGUGGCCAUGGAAGUCGGAAUCCGCUAAGGAGUGUGUAACAACA
rnacentral:rRNA from 1 species